ACAAGUUUGGAUAUUGUUGGGACUGAUCAAAACCGAGAUGCUUAUUGGGCUAGAAUUUCAGAGUACUACAACACACACAAGGAAUCGUCAUGGCCGGAGCGUAAUCCUAAUGCAAUCAAUUGCCGUUACACAUUGAUUAACAGAGAGACCUCCAAAUUUUGUGGUUGCCUUCAGCAGAUUUUAAAUAAGGAAGAAAGUGGAAGGACUAUAGCAGAAAAGACAAACGAUGCACACAUUCUGUUCAAGGAAAUGGAUGU